rnacentral:lncRNA from 1 species
GGGGGGCUGCGGCCGCGGCAGCUGCUCGCUUAUUUUUAGAGCAUUUCCAUUCCUCCGGUUAAUUUUAGAUCGAUUCAUUAUUUAGCCCCAGUUCGCCUUCAGGGAAACCCAAGCUGGGGGGGAGGCCGGAGCCCCGCGGGACUGUGCGGGGCUGCCCCCAGCCGGGGCGCUGCGGGACUCGGUGGGUGCGGGCAGCCCUGUCCCCAGGGAGGGGGAGACCCAGCCUCUGGGAUGGGGUUUGGAUGGUGGGCAUGGACACGGAGAGAGGUGAGAAAGGAAUCCUGCAGGAUUCACCCUCCUGGGGGCUGUGCCAUGUCCCCCUCAUCCAUCCCUGGCUUUUACUUCUCUGGAAUAAUGGCUAAAUAUCCUUCCUCCUGGAAACCCAAGAGGAGUCACCCAUUGAGACCCACCUCCAGGGAGCCUCAGCCCAGAGCAAUGGUCAUUCCUGCAUUGGAGCUGCAGUGAGGGCAGCUCCUGAGUAUCCUAAGCAGCAGUGAG